rnacentral:rRNA from 1 species
AUUGAACGCUAGCGGGAUGCGUUACACAUGCAAGUCGAACGAGUGGCGGACGGGUGAGUAAUAUAUCGGAACGUGCCCAGUAGCGGGGGAUACUCCUCGAAAGAGUGGCUAAUACCCCAUACCAUUGGAGCGGCCGAUAUCGGAUUAGCCAGUUGGUGGGGGAAAGGCGUCACAAGGAAACGAACCGUAGCUGGUUUGAGAGGACGACCAGCCACACUGGGACUGAGACACGUCCCAGACUCCUACGGGAGGCAGGAGUGGGGAAUUUUGGACAAUGGGGGAAACCCUGAUCCAGCCAUCCCGCGUGUAUGAGAAGGCCUGCGGGUUGUAAAGUACUUUUGGCAGAGAAGCGGUAUCUGCAGAAUAAGCACCGGCUAACUCCGUGCCAGCAGCCGCGGUAAUAU